UCUUAUAACAGACAAGAAAGGUAAGCCACAGAGUAAAACAAUGAAUGUAGUUUAUAAAGAAGUCUUUCAAAACCUUCACUAAAGACAGUCAUGGAAAGAAUCUAAAAGAGUUCCAAUUCGACUAGCAUCAAAACAAGGAAUUGAAAGGAUGAAGUAUACUCAGGACGUGUUUAAAGGGAUAAGAGUAUGAAAACCAUUCUUCUGCAUUUGAAGAAGCAACAGCAUUAGUUUUAAAGUUUUUCAUUUUUUGGUUUUUCUUUCAUUUAUUUACCAGACUCGAAUUUAGAUUAUAGAACUUUUUCUUCUUCUAAACAAAUGAAUGCCAUCACUCUGUUUAACUCAGUA